rnacentral:lncRNA from 1 species
UGCAGUUCUGCCCCUUGACUGACUACUGGCUCCUCUUGUCCUGACAACCUAUUGUCCUCCUUCCAGGCAUGACUGUAACAUUCCUUUCUCUGUCUGCCCGAGUGUCAGCCGCUCUCAUCUGGGAGUUUUUGGGCGCCCUACAUCUUCCUGCUGCCCACCUUUGCCCCCCUCUUCUUCCCAGGCGGUGGCUGCUGGGCACGAGUCUGGACCCCUGAGCGUCGCCAAGUCCCAGGAAGGUUGGCCACAACCCAAAUGCUGGACUGCCCAGCACUGGAAGAGGCUUCCAGACAGCAGGCUGCAGCGCACUGAAUGGAUCCAACUGUUUAGUUUGUGAGAUCAAGGAGUAGGAAGGUAAGACUGGAGUGUGCAUUGCCAUCCCAUACCCAUGGUGAGAGGACUUCCAUGAGUGGA